AUUGAACGCUGGCGGCAUGCCUUACACAUGCAAGUCGAACGGUAACAGGUCUUCGGAUGCUGACGAGUGGAGAACGGGUGAGUAAUACAUCGGAACGUGCCUAGUAGUGGGGGAUAACUACUCGAAAGAGUGGCUAAUACCGCAUGAGAUCUACGGAUGAAAGCAGGGGAUCGCAAGACCUUGUGCUACUAGAGCGGCCGAUGGCAGAUUAGGUAAUUGGUGGGGUAAAAGCUUACCAAGCCGACGAUCUGUAGCUGGUCUGAGAGGACGAUCAGCCACACUGGGACUGAGACACGGCCCAGACUCCUACGGGAGGCAGCAGUGGGGAAUUUUGGACAAUGGGCGCAAGCCUGAUCCAGCAAUGCCGCGUGCAGGAUGAAGGCCUUCGGGUUGUAAACUGCUUUUGUACGGAACGAAAAGCCCUGGGUUAAUACCCUGGGGUCAUGACGGUACCGUAAGAAUAAGCACCGGCUAACUACGUGCCAGCCGCCGCCGUAA
rnacentral:rRNA from 1 species